UUCUAUUCCAUGUAAAUUAACCAAAUAUGCUUUUGAUUUUGUGUCAAAAGAAAUUCUUGAACCUGAUUUGAGGGGUAAAGACCCAACUACAAAAGAUAAAAGCCCAAGUCAAGAGCCAUUAAGCACCCUGGAGAAGAGAGUGUGUGGCAGUUCGACCAGAGCAAAGUACAAGUCAAUUUGUUUCAAGCAACAGUGCCAACACAGAAAAUUUAAGCAGCACAAGGAGGCCAAGGUUGAUUGAAAAUGAGGAUGGCUUCCUGGAGCUGUGCUGCUUGCAAGGCUUCCACUCUGCCUGCUUGGAUCCCUGGCUUCGAACUUGUGGUGACUGCCCAUAUUGUUGCAGAACUAUAACUAUAGUAACAAGUCACAACAAAGCAUCAAAGAGUUAGAUUUUUUUUUUUUUUUACUAGAAAUGUUUUUGUAAUCUGGGUUUUCCUACACGUGUGAAAGUUUUGGCACUGACCAAAUUAUUUUUUUUAAAUUUGUAGUUGUGUGCAUAUGUAAUUAUUGUAUCUCCUGCUCUGUUGUACACACGAGAGAAUCUGGUCUCAUUGUUUUUCUUGAUUGCUAUUUUGAAAUUUGUUGAAUACGUGUUUUCUGUGUUUUAUU